UGUAAGCGUAUACCAAAGUUGUUGCAGUUAAAACGCUCGUAGUCGGAAUUUGGCAGUUCCGGAUGUGUGCACGUCGUGUGCGCACUUCGCGGGGAUUGCUUUUGUGGUCUUGCGUAGGAUGAGGCACUUUUAUUAGUGAACGUCCUCACGCAACCACUUUUUACUGUGAGAAAAUCAGAGUGCUCAAAGCAGGCAUUUGCCGUGAAUGUAUUAGCAUGGAAUAAUAGAAUAGGACUUGGUUCUAUUUUGUUGGUUUGUUGGGACUGAGUAAUGAUUAAGAGGGACAGUUGGGGGCAUUUGUAUUUCGGUGCUAGAGGUGAAAUUCUUAGAUUACCGAAAGACAAACUGCUGCGAAAGCGUCUGCCCAGGAUGUUUUCAUUGA
rnacentral:rRNA from 1 species